GGUUAAGCGACUAAGCGUACACGGUGGAUGCCCUGGCAGUCAGAGGCGAUGAAGGACGUGCUAAUCUGCGAUAAGCGUCGGUAAGGUGAUAUGAACCGUUAUAACCGGCGAUUUCCGAAUGGGGAAACCCAGUGUGAUUCGUCACACUAUCAUUAACUGAAUCCAUAGGUUAAUGAGGCGAACCGGGGGAACUGAAACAUCUAAGUACCCCGAGGAAAAGAAAUCAACCGAGAUUCCCCCAGUAGCGGCGAGCGAACGGGGAGCAGCCCAGAGCCUGAAUCAGUGUGUGUGUUAGUGGAAGCGUCUGGAAAGGCGCGCGAUACAGGGUGACAGCCCCGUACACAAAAAUGCACAUGCUGUGAGCUCGAUGAGUAGGGCGGGACACGUGGUAUCCUGUCUGAAUAUGGGGGGACCAUCCUCCAAGGCUAAAUACUCCUGACUGACCGAUAGUGAACCAGUACCGUGAGGGAAAGGCGAAAAGAACCCCGGCGAGGGGAGUGAAAAAGAACCUGAAACCGUGUACGUACAAGCAGUGGGAGCACGCUUCGGCGUGUGACUGCGUACCUUUUGUAUAAUGGGUCAGCGACUUAUAUUCUGUAGCAAGGUUAACCGAAUAGGGGAGCCGAAGGGAAACCGAGUCUUAACUGGGCGUUAAGUUGCAGGGUAUAGACCCGAAACCCGGUGAUCUAGCCAUGGGCAGGUUGAAGGUUGGGUAACACUAACUGGAGGACCGAACCGACUAAUGUUGAAAAAUUAGCGGAUGACUUGUGGCUGGGGGUGAAAGGCCAAUCAAACCGGGAGAUAGCUGGUUCUCCCCGAAAGCUAUUUAGGUAGCGCCUCGUGAAUUCAUCUCCGGGGGUAGAGCACUGUUUCGGCAAGGGGGUCAUCCCGACUUACCAACCCGAUGCAAACUGCGAAUACCGGAGAAUGUUAUCACGGGAGACACACGGCGGGUGCUAACGUCCGUCGUGAAGAGGGAAACAACCCAGACCGCCAGCUAAGGUCCCAAAGUCAUGGUUAAGUGGGAAACGAUGUGGGAAGGCCCAGACAGCCAGGAUGUUGGCUUAGAAGCAGCCAUCAUUUAAAGAAAGCGUAAUAGCUCACUGGUCGAGUCGGCCUGCGCGGAAGAUGUAACGGGGCUAAACCAUGCACCGAAGCUGCGGCAGCGACGCUUAUGCGUUGUUGGGUAGGGGAGCGUUCUGUAAGCCUGCGAAGGUGUGCUGUGAGGCAUGCUGGAGGUAUCAGAAGUGCGAAUGCUGACAUAAGUAACGAUAAAGCGGGUGAAAAGCCCGCUCGCCGGAAGACCAAGGGUUCCUGUCCAACGUUAAUCGGGGCAGGGUGAGUCGACCCCUAAGGCGAGGCCGAAAGGCGUAGUCGAUGGGAAACAGGUUAAUAUUCCUGUACUUGGUGUUACUGCGAAGGGGGGACGGAGAAGGCUAUGUUGGCCGGGCGACGGUUGUCCCGGUUUAAGCGUGUAGGCUGGUUUUCCAGGCAAAUCCGGAAAAUCAAGGCUGAGGCGUGAUGACGAGGCACUACGGUGCUGAAGCAACAAAUGCCCUGCUUCCAGGAAAAGCCUCUAAGCAUCAGGUAACAUCAAAUCGUACCCCAAACCGACACAGGUGGUCAGGUAGAGAAUACCAAGGCGCUUGAGAGAACUCGGGUGAAGGAACUAGGCAAAAUGGUGCCGUAACUUCGGGAGAAGGCACGCUGAUAUGUAGGUGAAGUCCCUCGCGGAUGGAGCUGAAAUCAGUCGAAGAUACCAGCUGGCUGCAACUGUUUAUUAAAAACACAGCACUGUGCAAACACGAAAGUGGACGUAUACGGUGUGACGCCUGCCCGGUGCCGGAAGGUUAAUUGAUGGGGUUAGCCGCAAGGCGAAGCUCUUGAUCGAAGCCCCGGUAAACGGCGGCCGUAACUAUAACGGUCCUAAGGUAGCGAAAUUCCUUGUCGGGUAAGUUCCGACCUGCACGAAUGGCGUAAUGAUGGCCAGGCUGUCUCCACCCGAGACUCAGUGAAAUUGAACUCGCUGUGAAGAUGCAGUGUACCCGCGGCAAGACGGAAAGACCCCGUGAACCUUUACUAUAGCUUGACACUGAACAUUGAGCCUUGAUGUGUAGGAUAGGUGGGAGGCUUUGAAGUGUGGACGCCAGUCUGCAUGGAGCCGACCUUGAAAUACCACCCUUUAAUGUUUGAUGUUCUAACGUGGACCCGUGAUCCGGGUUGCGGACAGUGUCUGGUGGGUAGUUUGACUGGGGCGGUCUCCUCCUAAAGAGUAACGGAGGAGCACGAAGGUUGGCUAAUCCUGGUCGGACAUCAGGAGGUUAGUGCAAUGGCAUAAGCCAGCUUGACUGCGAGCGUGACGGCGCGAGCAGGUGCGAAAGCAGGUCAUAGUGAUCCGGUGGUUCUGAAUGGAAGGGCCAUCGCUCAACGGAUAAAAGGUACUCCGGGGAUAACAGGCUGAUACCGCCCAAGAGUUCAUAUCGACGGCGGUGUUUGGCACCUCGAUGUCGGCUCAUCACAUCCUGGGGCUGAAGUAGGUCCCAAGGGUAUGGCUGUUCGCCAUUUAAAGUGGUACGCGAGCUGGGUUUAGAACGUCGUGAGACAGUUCGGUCCCUAUCUGCCGUGGGCGCUGGAGAACUGAGGGGGGCUGCUCCUAGUACGAGAGGACCGGAGUGGACGCAUCACUGGUGUUCGGGUUGUCAUGCCAAUGGCACUGCCCGGUAGCUAAAUGCGGAAGAGAUAAGUGCUGAAAGCAUCUAAGCACGAAACUUGCCCCGAGAUGAGUUCUCCCUGACCCUUUAAGGGUCCUGAAGGAACGUUGAAGACGACGACGUUGAUAGGCCGGGUGUGUAAGCGCAGCGAUGCGUUGAGCUAACCGGUACUAAUGAACCGUGAGGCUUAACCUU
rnacentral:rRNA from 1 species